rfam:Oryza sativa Japonica Group DNA, chromosome 5, cultivar: Nipponbare, complete sequence.
AAUAAGUGCAGCCGUGGAUAUCCGUGCCCAACGUUUGACCGUCUGUCUUAUUUGAAAAAUUUGAAAAUAUUUAGUCACACAAAAAAUACUAUUCAUGUUUUAUCAUCUAAUAGCAAUAAAAAUACUAAUCAUAAAAAAAUUUCAAAUAAGACGAACGGUUAAACGUUGAACGUGAAUAGUGCAAAACUACACUUAUU